AAUAAACGAAUUUCUAAGUUUUUGGAUAGAAUUUUUGACUCUUCGUCUUAUUUGAAUUUUUAAAAUUAAUAUUUUUAUUGCUAUUACAUGAUAAAAUAUAAAUAGUAAUUUACGUGUGAUUAUUUUUUAAUUUUUUUAUAAUUUUUUUAAAUAAGACGGAUGGUUAAACGUUCAACCUAGAAAUCUCAUAAAUGCUUUUUUU
rnacentral:pre_miRNA from 1 species